rnacentral:ncRNA from 1 species
UUAGCUAUUUUAGAUAGGUUUGUAUUCAUGAUUCAUGGAUGCAGACGACACGCGUUUGUAUCUAUGAUGGCUAAGGAUUUUAAGUAUGACUUAAUGCCACAUAGAUGAGAAUCUAUAGUGGCUUUUUUCUUUGGUAUUUUUUGGGGAAUGAGGUUCAUUGUAGGUUUUCUACAAUGGACCUUUUUUCGUAUUUAAAA